rnacentral:rRNA from 2 species
GACUCUCGGCAAUGGAUAUCUCAGCUCUCGCAUCGAUGAAGAAUGUAGCGAUAUGCGAUACUUGGUGUGAAUUGCAGAAUACCGUGAAGCAUCGAGUCUUUGAACGCAAGUUGCGCCCGAAGCCAUUAGGCUGAGGGCACGUCUGCCUGGGCGUCA